rnacentral:lncRNA from 1 species
GGAAGAAUUAAAAAAAAAAAAAAAAAGGACUGGGCAAAACCUGUGUCAUCUGGAAACCUGGCUAAUUUCUAUUCUGAAUUAACUGGAUUUUUCCAGUUUUAUACUCAACUUAAAAAUAAAUAGAUGAAUCAAAAUCAUAUCUAAGAAGUCACUUUGGGAGUUCCCUAUGUGGCUGAGCAGAAAAGUAUCUGACUAGUAACCAUGAGGACGCAGGUUUGAUCCCUGGCCUUGCUCAGUGGGUGAAGGAUCUGGCAUUGCCAUGAGCUGUGGUGUAGGUUGCAGAUGCGGCUCGGAUCUGGUGUUGCUGUGGCUGUGGUGUAGGCCAGUGGCUACAUCUCUGAUUUGACCCCUAACCUGGGAACUUCCAUAUGCUGCGGGAGUGGCACUAAAAAGAAAAAAAAAUUAAUAAUAAUAAAAAAGGUACUUUAUUUGAAUUCAGUAAUUUAAAUAAUUAUAACAUCUUAUAUUUUAACAACUGUGUUCAAAAUGAUAAGUUUCAGAUUAGCCAGAAUGCCCAAUGCCUAAACAUUCUGUAAAAUUGAGGGUAUAAAUAUAAAGAAUAAUUUUAUUUAUAUCCAUGGUACAUAUAUACAUUCAUGAAUGUGCAUACACAUCCAUGUAUAUAUGUAUAAAUAAUUUUAAAAUAUGAAUUUCAACCAAGAUUCUAUAUUGGUAGAUAUCAGAUAUUAAAGUGAUUGAUAAAAUAAAAAAUAAACCAAUUAAAUGAAUACUAUUAAAGAACUUAAUUUUUAAAAAGUGUGUGGGGAAACCACCCAACCUGUAGGAAUCAGAAAAAUAGGCUGAAGAGCAGAUGAAUGAUUCUUAAACCUCUCUAUACUCAAGGAUGUAAAAAAUUCAGGGGUGUGAAAAUUGAAGGUGGAUUUCUGAAGAGGGGGGAGACCUGUUGAUGCACUGAAUUCCUCUAGAAUGGGGGGGUUUCAGUGGGGCCCCCGAAAGUAUGGUCUAUGUGGCCUGCGAGUGGGGGCACGGUGGAGGGUGUUUCUCCACCUGAGAAACAGAAAGGGCGGGUGAGGGCUGCCAGCCAAACCCCGAGGAAGGUGGUUGCCUUGGCUACGCUCAGUCCUGGACUUGGUGCCUAGAGCAUCCAUGUGUGUUUCCGAUGAAGCGAAUCUUCAUGCGCGAGAGAGACAGACAGACAGACAGACACUCACACAUGCAGAUGGAGCCCCCAGAGGCUGUCUGAGACACCUGGAGGACCAGAGCUCAGCAGGGGAGGCUGCAGCUGCAGGCAGCGCUGGAUUCCUGGGGCCGAGAAGGAAGUCCCAACCAGCAGGAAAGACACGAGGCCACCAGGUUGAGGGACUCCAGGUGAGAGAACCACCACAGUAGAGAUGGAAAGGGGACACGUUUUAGACUCCUGAAGGCCCAAGAACCGGCAGUCGGCCUACAACCAUAAGCAAGUAAGAGGUGUUGGCGUUCCCGUUGUGCGUGGUGCAGUGGAAAUGAACCCAGCGAGAAUCCAUGAGGAUGUGGGUUCGAUCCCUGGCCUCGCUCAGGGGUUAAGGAUCCGGUGUUGCCGUGAGCUGUGGUGCAGGUCGCAUGUGCAGCUUCAUUACUGAGUUGCUGUGGCUGUGGUGCAGGCUGGCAGCUCUGAUUAGGCCCCUAGCCUGGGAACCUCCAUAUGCCGUGGGUGUGGCUCU